rnacentral:misc_RNA from 1 species
AAUAAUGCUGGUUAACCAAGCAACCCAUUUCAUAUGUCACGGUUAUGUAGUGCUACUACCAUCAAGCGAAAAAAGAAUUGAUUGCUGUUUCAGAAUAUUGAAUUAUAUAC